AUGUUUCAUACUAUUAACUUAAAACACAUGAACACACACAGAAAUGGCACUACUGAACAUUUUGUCUGUGUGUGUAAUCAUGGUAAUGCACCUAGCACUAUGACUGAGAAAUCUAGUUUGGCAAGAGUCCAAAUGUCGGUUAAAUUUUGGCGCCGUUACACACAAUUGAAUGUGCACAAGGUAGGCGCGCCUCAAUAUACCGGUAUAUAGCAAGGAAAUCUCUGCCUGCAUGUGUGAGUGGCUGGAAUUUUAGAGGACCGGCACAAAUCAAGCCAUGCCACGCGGUAAGUCCAAACCAGCUCGCCAAGUUCGCCGGGCCCGCCCCGCCCAUCCUGCCCCCCAGAAGCGAAAGACCAGUCAGGUAAAACACAAAACUAAACCACCUGCUCAAAAGCCAAAACCUCCAAAAAGUCGACAAGUGGCCAAGGCCAAAGUUCCAACCAGCUCAAAAGCCAAAAGAUCAUACCCGUCGCAGGCCACAAAGCAUGUAGUUAAGCACCACCAACCAGCUAAAAGACAUCUCGCACACCAACAAGGUCAACCAUACCCAAAACGACCAAAACUUCGGCAAGUUCAACUGGGCUCUACAGCUAGCCUUCAGUUUGUGCCCUUUCCAAUUGCAACCACGCCAACAACAACGAAUGUGCAUCAUCAUCAUGGGCCUCAAUCUGUGCAACAUCAUAGCUUGAACAUCAGUGGCGAUAGAAACCCUGUGAUGUAUGCACCAGGGGGGCACCACAACCAUUUAUCUUACCAACCGCACAGGCCGGAUGAACAACCAAUACCAAGGCCAACAGGGCAAGAACGUCAAGAUAAAGAUAAAGACUACAACUCUGAGGGGGAAAGAGACACCCAGUAGUGCUCAUCCACUGAUACAUCAACUCCCACAGCAGAGGAAACCUGGACAGCAUCCACAAGCAUGAAACAAGAGUUGAUGCAGAGCAACUGGAAAGCAGCUCUGGGGUUAACUGGGUGUAAAGGUGUAAGAGUCUUGACUAAAAAUGUAUGAAAAGAUAGCGAAAGAGAAACAAAUCUCAAAGUGUUUACACAAGACCCAAGGGGGGGGGGGGGAUGGUUAGAGUCAAGCAAGACUUAAUCUUCAAUUUCCCCAAACAAAUAAAAUUGAUUCAAAACAGAUUUCAGUUUUUGAAAAUUACUUAGCCACUAGGUUCGCAUGCCUAUUGCAAGAUAUAAGCACAAUUAAUGGUUACACCUCUAUGUUCCGACACCCCUAUGUUCCGACUGCACAUAUUCCUAUUCCUAACCCUAAUCCUAACCCUAACCGGGAGUAACACAAUCUAGGUUGUCGGAACAUAGAGCAGUCACCCAAUUAAUUAUGUGAACAAAUAUCUUCAUGAUACUGCUGGGUUGAUGUUUUAAACAAUAACAAUUCUCCUAAAAUGUUUAUAAGAUUAAAUACCCUGCCCCCAUGCUACACCACAGGAAUUUGAAACACAAUGCUUUGAACUGAUUGAGGAUUAUUUCUGGAUGACAAGUUCGACAAGUGCUUUUUAUACAUCAAGAUAUAGCCUACAUAAAUAUGCUUUUAGUGUUAUUGUCACAUUGCUUUUAUACUUAAUUUAAUAAUAUGUACAGCUUAAAUGCAGAUAUACAUCAACGCUAGUCGAUUCACAUUGUCGUGAUUCUGUUUAGGGCAUAUUAUAAACAUGAGUAAAUACGAACUCAAGAAUGCAUGGAACAAAUUGCGCAUAUUAAUUGAUAGAUGUACAAUAAAGCAGAAGUGGAUUAAAUGCCAAAUAGGA
rnacentral:lncRNA from 1 species